CCUGACAUGAUAGAUGGUGCUAAGUAAAGUUCUGUUGCUUGAUAGAAUUUAUUUGGUGUGUGAAAUAAAGAAACGUAGAGUUUUAUAUAAUUUUUUAGCAUACUUUGCAUGAGGUUUUAUUAUGACGUUUACGUAGAUUUAUUGAUAUUCAGAUGUGCGUCGAAUUUGUUUUGUUUUAUGUUUAUAAUUUUGAGCGUGAUUGUGUUGGUUAUUAACCUGGAGAUUGGAGGUUAUGUACAUUUUUUGGCAUUUCUUGCUUUCCAGAUCUGAGAUCUUCAGGUAAUGCGUCUGUUAUAUUGUUUGUUUACUCGACUAAAGCGAUUGAUCGAGUUUUUACUUUAUUUUGUAGGCUUUCUGUGAAGAAAGGAGUCGUGGCUAAGAAGAGGAAGCCAACAAAGGACCCUAACAAGCCAAAGAAGGCACUUACCUUUUUGUUUUCAUGGAGGAUUUUAGAGUGACAUACAAGCAGAAGCACCCUAACAACAAAUCUGUGGCUGCUGUUGGGAAAGCUUGUGGUGUUAAUCGACUCUGAAUCAUAGGGAGGAGUAGAGUGACAUACAAACAGAAGCACCCCAACAACAAAUCUGUUGCUGAUGUUGGGAAAGCUGGUGGGGAGAAGUGAAAAUCAUUGACUGGUGCUAAGAAGGUUCCUUACAUCCAUACAGCAGAGAAGAGGAUGUCUGAUUAUGAAAAGAGCAUGACCAGCUACAGGAAGAAAUUGGUAUAGUCUAAUUUUACUCCAUUUGACUAUUGAAAUUUGUUUAUUUAUGCUGUUAUUGUUGUUUGAAUGCAGUAAAAUUGAUAAUUGGUGAUUAAAAAAAAUAUAAGUUAUAGGUGACUUAUUGUUCCAUUCUUAAUGUCGUUAGCUAUGAUUAUUAUCCUAAUCUUCUCAUGGUGGACUCAUGGUUGCCAAGAAAUGUAAAUAGAACAAUUCAUCUGAUUUGAAAUUCAACCUUCUCCACAAAUAAUCGUGGAGCAUAAAUCAAUUAUACUAGGAAAAGCACAAUAGUUACUUUGAUGCACAAACAAUUGAAGCUAAUUUUGAGCUCUACUUUUAUACACUAAUACAGAAGUCUAAAACUCCCCAUAUCUAUAAUUGAUUUACUAAUUUGCUUUGCUCAAGUAUAAUUCUCUCAUUUGUAAUCCAAUCUUUUGAUUUUGUAUGAAAUUUUGGUGAAAGAUUAAAUCUUUAAUACCUUUUGAUGAUUUGUUAAGGUGAGUUGAUCAAUGUGUUCCUAUGAUUAUUUUGUUUGAUGGGGUGUUUUUACUUUAUAAUGUAGCUAUCUUGUUUUUCUCUUUCUAGAGAUAUUUCUUGGUUCUUUACAUGCUAUUCUCAUAUUAUAUCUGUUUUUUGUAUGGUAUUUGGAUAAUCGUAUUUAUAUCAUCUACACAAAUCAUGGUUCCUUUGGAAAGAGCUUUUUGUCCAUCUCCAAGUGAUUUAACUAAAAUCCCUUCAAGAAGAAUGCAGUUUGUGGAAUUUUUAACAAACCAGUCAGUUUUUUUUUUUGGUGGUAUGAUCCUGUUUCGGUGAUUUCAACAGUUGCGAAUCCCGAAUUUUUGAAUAAUUCACAUUUUGUGGGUUUGCAUAAUUUUAUAUCACACGUUACUUCUGGGUAGUUUGUAUUUGUACAAAUACAGCUACAUACUUAAAGUAUAUACUUUUCUGGGUUAGUUUCCAGAAUUUAGAAUUCAUACUUUUUUAGACUUUGCAAUUAGAAUUUGUGGCGACAUGGUGAUGCAUAAUUUGUUUCUUAAUACGAAUGGUACAGAUUCAUUGUGUUGAUUACCCUGCCACAAACUUUUCGUCAAUUGAUUAGAGGAGAUACAUAAGUAUUCACCCAUAAAAGGGUAAAUUAAUGAUAACAUAAGUCUGUAGGCGAACAGUACACUUUUUAAAGAUGCUUAUGAUUUAACCAAUGGUUGAAUGUUUAUACUGCUGAGGUUGGAAAAUUAAAUAUUGACUGGCAGAAAGAGAACUGAAAUGCUGUUACAGAACAAACAUUGAUGGAUUUAAUGUAAUUGACUUCCACAAAUUCUGUGAAUUUAAGGGACCUUGUGUUAUAAUAGGUUACACAAACAACAAGACCUUUAAAUUUGGAGCAUUAAAAGAAGGGGGAGUGGAAUGUUGAGAAAAUAGUACUUCGUAGUAUUUGCUUACUAAUUUCCUCCACAUCGUAACACGUUUAGUAUUUAGAUUAAAACCCAUUAGGAUGUUC